AUUUACUGUUCCUCAUAUUACCUUCAUCAGCACUGUGGAUUUUUGAGGAGACAAAUGAAGACAUUAUAGUUCAGGUUUGAUCUCAAACUCCAUUUGCAUUCCAAAACAAAGAACAAGUCUGUGUUUCAUUGUGAUUGUAUAAUAGGAAGUAAAGGACUGUGGCUUAUGUUACUUGGAGUUGAUUUAAAUUUUUAUGAACCUGAUACCUCUGAAAGGCAAUAAUCAAAAUGAAACCAUGGUAAUUAUUUUCAUUUGAAAACAUCAGAAUGGGACCUCAUUACAUUCCGGAGCCCAGUAAAUUCUUGGCAAGUGAACAAUCAGUAGCUUGGUAUCACCGGAAUCUGCUGCAUUUGAAGGAUGAAACACAUAUUCUUAGAUGACUCAACAUAUGAGCCUUAAAAGAGAUUUCAGAAUCGGCUUCUUUAUUUACAAAUCAGAAAACGGAAGUCCAAAAGGGUAGAAUGUGUCCAAGGUCAUGCAGCCAGACAGACCUGGAUGGUUUCACUCCGCCAUACUAAAAGUGAAAUUGGGACAUGCUUAAAAAAAAAAAACUUUAAAAUAAUAUAAUUAUAAUGCAUGAUCAUUGUUGGAAAUGCAGAAAAGACAAGAGGCCAAAAAAGAUAAUAUAAAUCAACGAUUGAAGCUCACAUGUAGCCUCUGUAAUGAUUCUGGUGUAUGAGUAUUUUUU
rnacentral:lncRNA from 1 species